UUCACGGCAAACGGAUGAAACUUGUGUCAAUCUCCAAAAUGUUGAUGGCUGACAGGAGUCUCUUUUUGCAUUUUUGCCUUGAUUUCCAGUGCAGAAUGCGAGCCCUAACGGCUCAGGUAACGAGCAGCCUGCUGCAGUUUCCAGAGGUGACUGUUGAGGCAUUUGGGGAAGAUGAGAGAAGCCUAGAUUCUGUGCUGCGUGGGAAGUUUUCCAGAGCCUGAGUGCAAACAGAAGGAAGAGGACAGCCCUGUUGAGCGCUGCCGCCAGAUUUGCAAAGCAUUUCCUGGGAUGCGGGGAGAGAUGGGCUGGCCUGGCUGGCGUGUGGCCCUCAGCUGGAGGUCGUGAGCGCUGUGACGGGAGAGCGGCUCUCUGCACACUGUUUCAGUGGAGUCCGUGAGCAGCCUCCCACCGCCCGUGUGGUAAAGGAGUUUUCCUGGCGGAAGGGAACGGGGCUGCUGGUUGGCUUGGAAGAAGCAGAGGGAAGUGUCCUCUGCCUGUACGAGCCUGGAACGUCAGGAGUGGUUAAAGCAGUUGUUCUGCCAGGAAGGGCAGGUGCUUUUUCAGGGGAGAAACGAAGCUUUUCUGUUGCCAGGUGCUGCACAAUGCCGUUUCGGGAACAGCUUUGGAGCGUCACUGUGUCGGGAGGUG